CUCAGGUUGAACGCUUAGCGGCAGGCCUAAUACAUGCAAGUCGAGGGGCAGCGGGUGUAGCAAUACAUUGCCGGCGACCGGCGCACGGGUGCGUAACGCGUAUGCAACUUACCUCUAACAGGGGGAAUAGCCCCGAGAAAUCGGGAUUAAUACCUCAUAACAUUUAUCAUUCGCAUGUUUGAUAAAUUAAAGCUCCGGCGGUUAGAGAUGGGCAUGCGUGACAUUAGCUAGUUGGUGAGGUAACGGCUCACCAAGGCUGCGAUGUCUAGGGGUUCUGAGAGGACAUUCCCCCACACUGGUACUGAGACACGGACCAGACUCCUACGGGAGGCAGCAGUAAGGAAUAUUGGGCAAUGGACGCAAGUCUGACCCAGCCAUGCCGCGUGCAGGAUGAAGGCCCUAUGGGUUGUAAACUGCUUUUGUCAGGGAAUAAACCUGUCUACGUGUAGACAGCUGAAGGUACCUGAAGAAUAAGCAUCGGCUAACUCCGUG
rnacentral:rRNA from 1 species